rnacentral:misc_RNA from 1 species
CUCGCCAUAUCCCUCACCGUGUCCAGAGCCGGAUCCUGAGCCUGCUCCUUGUUUGCCACCUGAUCCUGAACCAGCUCGAGACCCGGCGUAGGAGCCGGCAGAUGAACCUGCUUCAGAACCCGCACCGGAGCCUCCGGAACUUGAACUUGACCUGGACGAAGAGGAGGAACUUGAUUCAGAACUGGAACCGGAACCAGAACCUGAAC